AGCGAACGCUGGCGGCAGGCCUAACACAUGCAAGUCGAACGAAGUCUUCGGACUUAGUGGCGGACGGGUGAGUAACACGUGGGAACGUGCCUUUAGGUUCGGAAUAACUCAGGGAAACUUGUGCUAAUACCGAAUGUGCCCUUCGGGGGAAAGAUUUAUCGCCUUUAGAGCGGCCCGCGUCUGAUUAGCUAGUUGGUGAGGUAAAGGCUCACCAAGGCGACGAUCAGUAGCUGGUCUGAGAGGAUGAUCAGCCACAUUGAGACUGAGACACGGCCCAAACUCCUACGGGAGGCAGCAGUGGGGAACCUUGCGCAAUGGGCGAAAGCCUGACGCAGCCAUGCCGCGUGAAUGAUGAAGGUCUUAGGAUUGUAAAAUUCUUUCACCGGGGACGAUAAUGACGGUACCCGGAGAAGAAGCCCCGGCUAACUUCGUGCCAGCAGCCGCCGUAAAAC
rnacentral:rRNA from 1 species